AACGAACGCUGGCGGCAUGCCUAACACAUGCAAGUCGAACGAGACCUUCGGGUCUAGUGGCGCACGGGUGCGUAACGCGUGGGAACCUGCCCUUAGGUUCGGAAUAACUCCCCGAAAGGGGUGCUAAUACCGGAUAAUGUCUUCGGACCAAAGAUUUAUCGCCUUUGGAUGGGCCCGCGUUGGAUUAGCUAGUUGGUAGGGUAAAAGCCUACCAAGGCGACGAUCCAUAGCUGGUCUGAGAGGAUGAUCAGCCACACUGGGACUGAGACACGGCCCAGACUCCUCCGGGAGGCAGCAGUGGGGAAUAUUGGACCAUGGGCGAAAGCCUGAUCCAGCAAUGCCGCGUGAGUGAUGAAGGCCUUAGGGUUGUAAAGCUCUUUUACCCGGGAUGAUAAUGACAGUACCGGGAGAAUAAGCUCCGGCUAACUCCGUG
rnacentral:rRNA from 1 species